AGCAGUGUGCAGCCUAUGGUGCAAUUAUGUGGGUUUGUUUUCAAUUUGUAGCGCCUAGCUACAUCCUUAAGUGCUUGUAAUAGUGCUAGUAAAAGUGCUGGUUUUAAUAGAAUAACGUUAUAUUCAUCAACGUCAUUGUCAAAGUGCGUGUGUUGUUAUCAGGGAGAUUCGAGUGGAAUCCGCAUCAGUGAGCACCUGUUAAGUAUUAUCGGAGCUAGCUAGCUUGCUAUUGCUACAGAGUGUUGCUUCAGCUUGCAUUUAGCUUUAUUAUGGCAAUUUAGCUCGCGUUAACAUAACGCUAGCGCACAUUCAGCACUGAGGACUGGAACCUGGACACUGACCAUUUAUCCAGAUAGCGCUCUAUGCUACCAGGAAUAGCAUAGUAGCACCUCUGGCACCUGGAAACCCGACAGCGCUCCGUGUGACCCGAAAAGCACGGAAGCGCCUCUAGCAACAAGGGAGAAAAUCUGCAUCGUUCACAAAUAUCAGAAGGUCAGGGUGUGUGUUCCUGUCAGCCAGCGAGACAAGCAAGCCAUUCCUGCCUUGAGGAGAGGGCGGGCAGGCCCCAUUCCCCUGCCGGCCAAAUCCCACCAAUUGAAGCACUCUGUGGAACUGAAAAACCUGUAUGCUCAAAUUAUGACACACAACAGAGAAAACCACACUCCCUCAAGAUCUCAGAGAGGAAAGUGAAUAAUAAAAAGAUUUGUCCUGUCCUCCAGUUGCACGUCUUUGCGAAUCUGGCAUAAUCGAGUGUUCCCUGGGGGUCGGUACCAGGUGUUUCCAAAUGUUGGUCGUGGGUGCGGGAGUUGAAGAAGGCUGCACCUGAUCUUCGCUGAUGCGCUGUCUGGUGAAUCAGGGACAUCUUACUCAGUGUAGAUGUGGCCAGAGCAUCAGAACUUGCACAUCCCCCUAUGGCGCCCCCAGAUCUAGCACUGGAAGACCGAAGCCCCCAGGCCCUCCAAUGCUCCUUCACACCUGGUCUGGCACAGGAUCUGGCUGCCCAGAGGGCCAAGAUUAAUACCUGAAACCUUGAAAACUGAAGCCUAUGAAGAUAGUAUUCUAAAUACACUCCUGAGUUUUAAGAAUGUCUAUUUGUUAAAUGACAGAAGUACAUGAUCAAGCCCUGACCAUUAGAUCUAUAUAGUGUGUAUCAGCUCAACUGAUAACUCUCAUAUUGUAUAUACCUGCCCUCCUGUGGUGUAAUUGCACCAUUGCAAUAUUCAGCUUGUGACUGUAAAUUUAAACUUUUAUGUUUUCUAUGAUUAUUUUAAAGGACAUCAUGUUGCAGUAUGGGCCAGGCAGGACCAACUGUUUUAUAUCUGUGUGUAUAAAUGGAAGACAUUCAAUUUAAAUAAUAUAGUUAAUACAACAUCACCCUCCUCAAUGCUACAACAUACUGUAGCAGCAACAUUGUGAGAAUGUUACACAUGAUAAUUGGUGAAAAUAGUGAGAGUAAAUAAAGAAAUAGUCAUCAGUGUUGAUAAUACUGCUCUGAAAUGCAGCAAGUCAUUAAAUUUGAAUGUCUGUUUCUAUCAGCCAAUAAAUAUGCCUUCCCUGGCCUAGCACUUA